UACGUAGGGGGGCAAGCGUUGUCCGGAUUUACUGGGCGUAAAGAGCGUGUAGGCGGCCAAGCAGGUCCGUUGUGAAAACUCGAGGCUCAACCUCGAGACGCCGAUGGAAACCCUCCAGCUAGAGUCCGGAAGAGGAGAGUGGAAUUCCUGGUGUAGCGGUGAAAUGCGCAGAUAUCAGGAAGAACACCCGUGGCUAAGGCGGCUCUCUAGUACGGUACUGACGCUGAGACGCGAAAGCGUGGGGAGCGAACAGG
rnacentral:rRNA from 1 species